CUUGUGGCCAUAUCAAGUUGAAACACAAGUUCUUGUCCAAUCACCAAAGUUAAGCAACGUCGAGCCUGGCCAGUACCUAUAUUGGUGACCGCUUGAGAAUACCAGGUGCUGUAAG